rnacentral:rRNA from 1 species
UGGGGAAUUUUGGACAAUGGGCGAAAGCCUGAUCCAGCAAUGCCGCGUGUGUGAAGAAGGCCUUCGGGUUGUAAAGCACUUUUGUCCGGAAAGAAAUCCUUGGCUCUAAUACAGUCGGGGGAUGACGGUACCGGAAGAAUAAGCACCGGCUAACUACGUGCCAGCAGCCGCGGUAAUACGUAGGGUGCAAGCGUUAAUCGGAAUUACUGGGCGUAAAGCGUGCGCAGGCGGUUUGCUAAGACCGAUGUGAAAUCCCCGGGCUCAACCUGGGAACUGCAUUGGUGACUGGCAGGCUAGAGUAUGGCAGAGGGGGGUAGAAUUCCACGUGUAGCAGUGAAAUGCGUAGAGAUGUGGAGGAAUACCGAUGGCGAAGGCAGCCCCCUGGGCCAAUACUGACGCUCAUGCACGAAAGCGUGGGGAGCAAACAGGAUUAGAUACCCUGGUAGUCCACGCCCUAAACGACGUCAACUAGUUGUUGGGGAUUCAUUCCUUAGUAACGUAGCUAACGCGUGAAGUUGACCGCCUGGGGAGUACGGUCGCAAGAUUAAAACUUAAAUGAAUUGACGGGGUCAUAGCUG